rnacentral:sRNA from 1 species
AACGAGUGCGCAAUGCCGGGCGUGUGUCGCCAUGGUGACUGCCUCAACAACCCUGGCUCCUAUCGCUGUGUCUGCCCACCUGGCCAUAGUUUAGGCCCCUCCCGUACACAGUGCAUUGCAGACAAACCGGAGGAGAAGAGCCUGUGUUUCCGCCUGGUGAGCCCUGAGCACCAGUGCCAGCACCCACUGACCACCCGCCUGACCCGCCAGCUCUGCUGCUGCAGUGUCGGCAAGGCCUGGGGCGCGCGGUGUCAGCGCUGCCCAACAGAUGGCACCGCUGCGUUCAAGGAGAUCUGCCCAGCUGGGAAGGGAUACCACAUUCUCACCUCCCACCAGACGCUCACCAUUCAGGGCGAGAGUGACUUUUCCCUUUUCCUGCACCCUGACGGGCCACCCAAGCCCCAGCAGCUUCCGGAGAGCCCUAGCCAGGCUCCACCACCUGAGGACACAGAGGAAGAGAGAGGUCUAGCCUGACCCCUUCUGAUCCCUGACCCAUGCCAAGCCCCUAGGCCUGACCCCUUGACCCAUGAUCCACAGAUCUGACCUCACAGUCUAACCCCCAAUUCCUUAUCCCUGACCCAUCCACUGACCUCCCACCUGACCCUCUGACCCCUGACCCAGAUAUUUGACCCUGAGCUAUAACCUCCUAAGCCUUCUACAGCCUGACCUGUAACCCAAGGCCAUUCAACCUCAUCAUGUGACUACUAUGCAAACACACCCUAACCCCAGAAUCUAACCCCUGACCCUUGACCUGGAGACAUGAUUGUUGAACUCCCAGAGACCCUAACUGCAAAUACUCAGCUGCUGAUCCCAGAUCUGACUCCCUUCUCCCGCCCCAACACUUCAUGGCCCCAUCUUCUUCCCUUUUAGGGGUGACCACGGACUCAGUGAGUAUGAGAACCCAGAUGGGAGGGGUGGGCAGG